rnacentral:rRNA from 1 species
GAUGAACGCUGGCGGCGUGCCUAAUACAUGCAAGUCGAGCGAACGGACGAGAAGCUUGCUUCUCUGCUGUUAGCGGCGGACGGGGGAGUAACACGUGGAUAACCUCCCUAUAAGACUGGGAUAACUUCGGGAAACCGGAGCUAAUACCGGAUAAUUUUUUGAACCGCAUGGUUCAAAAGUGAAAGACGGUCUUGCUGUCACUUAUAGAUGGAUCCGCGCUGCAUUAGCUAGUUGGUAAGGUAACGGCUUACCAAGGCAACGAUGCAUAGCCGACCUGAGAGGGUGAUCGGCCACACUGGAACUGAGACACGGUCCAGACUCCUACGGGAGGCAGCAGUAGGGAAUCUUCCGCAAUGGGCGAAAGCCUGACGGAGCAACGCCGCGUGAGUGAUGAAGGUCUUCGGAUCGUAAAACUCUGUUAUUAGGGAAGAACAUAUGUGUAAGUAACUGUGCACAUCUUGACGGUACCUAAUCAGAAAGCCACGGCUAACUACGUG